CAAAAUCAAUGUCCCAGCUGUUUCAAAUUAAAGCUCAGAAAAAUGCAAUGAAAUGGAUUCUCAUAAACAUGCCCGUACCGAGAAAUCAGUCCAACCGAUCGAUUCAUUCCAGAAGGGAAAUUAGGGUUUGCAAAUUUGGUGCGGUUCCGGUGUUACUUCACCUGUGCAAGAUUGUGGUGUGUACGUAUAUCAUGGAUUGUAGUGCGGAUAUUGAAGAAUUGCGGAUGGAAAUUGAAGUACAAAGAAGAUUGAGUGACCAAGUUGAGGUAAUCUUCCUAACAUCUUUCUGAUACAGGCUUUUGAAUGAAUGAGUUUCUAGCUGACAUGGUUCAUGAGCUUCUUAUAACAUUUGGGUUUUUUGGAGGCACUGAAAUGUAAAUGAAAAGGAGACUAUCAAUGCACCAAACUCUAAUAUCAACCGAGAAUAAGAUGAAGUCAAGGAUUUUGAGUAGCUGGAAACUGAAUUUUGAGGAUCGGGUAUUUGAAUUUUGUGAUAUUCCAUAUUUAAUAUUCCUAUAAGAAUUCUUCUACUGAAUUCUUAUGAUCAGUCACAUCAUUUCUGUGUCGUUAAAAUCAUAGUAGGUUUGAAUCUGAUCAAUGCUGCAGGUGCAUUUUUAAUCUGCAUAUAUAUUUAAACUACAACAAAGACUCACCGGAAUACACUAAUACGUGAGAUUGAACUAUAAACCUACCCUGUCGUUUAUUCUUCAAUUUAUUUCUUAUUGUUUGGAUUGGCAGUAUAUAUGUGUGAAAAGUGAAUGGAAGUGACAGGGAAUCAAAAAGCUAUUGAAACAAACUACAUUAAUGAAGAGAGUUACAACUUGAUAAUCUGAUUCGUGAUUUUCACUAUAUUGCUUAUAUUGGGCAUAGAGAGAGAUUCAUCUGCUUUUUCAAUGGGUUCCAAUACAGUUGUUGUCCAAUUUACAGUACAUUUUUUAAGGGUUUGGGUAAGACCGUGCAUCCUUAUUAUAGUAUUAUAAUUUGAAAAAUUACUCACUUGAGCAUGCCUAUGUGAUCCACUGGCAGAUAACAUGUAGCGUUUUCUUUUAUAGUUUCACUCUCUUCUUGUUUUCUUGCAGGGAAGGUUCCCCUAAUAUACACCUAUAAAUUUUGAGAUGACAUGUGAUAGAAGAUCAUUAAGGAUCUCCUUUUACCUUCCGGUUUGGUAAGACUUAAAAACCCCUUUAUCAAGUUGUAAGUUACUUGAAUAUUGUAUACUUACAUAUGUACAAUUACUAUUGACAAAUGCACAUUCAUUGUCUAUUGAUAUGCUUAAGACACCAUGCAUACAGGUCUGUGCAGCAACGACAGCGCACCUGGAUUCAAGUCCAGAAGGAUGUGUGUUUGAUUCAUGCCAUACUGCUCUACAUUUCUGUUUUUGCUGAUAUGGAAAUCUAAAGAACUAUCAUGAUUCAUCUAUACUUGAAAUUGUAUCAUAUAACAUUAUUUCAUCAGCUCGCUUUGAUCGGUUCGUUUCUUCGCAAUUAUUUUAUCAACGUAAUUAAUUUUUGAUGUACUCUUGCUUUUGGAUUUGAUUAAAAAUAUUGUCUAAUGGGUUAUCAUUACUGAGUAACAUGGAAUUCCUGCGGUGUAUGCUAUUCAAGUUACUACAAACUUAAACUACUAACAUUUUCUUUUAGUGUUGUUCACGGUUUCGUAAAUACUAUUCAGCCUUCCUGCUUUCACCAAUCAGGUAGUGUUAUGUCAUUUCUGUUUAACGUGGUUGAUUGGCGUGUUCUAAUUUAUCCAAAUAUCCUGGUGUUAUGUCAUUUCUAUCAACAUGGUUGAUUGGCGUGUUCUAAUUUAUUCAAAUACCAUCCAAAUAUAGGAAACUCAAUGAGAAAUAUUUCCAGCUGCUAACCCCAAACAAGGCAAUCCUCCACGUUAAUUAGUAUCUUCCAUUUUUUUCUUAAUAAGUGGUUCUAUUCAAAUCUUCUGAACUUUUUCUUUUUUCUGACAGGAAAUGAAGAUGGCUCCUAAAAUUACAUUAGUUACUGUAGGAUAUCCAAAAUCAUUGUCUAAUAGACUCUUGACCAACUGUUCGGUGGAGAGGAAUAAAAAAAUCCCGACGAAUUGGGAAUGUUCUGAUAGACUACAUCUCCACCAACAAAGUUAUCAUCGUGGAUGUGGGAAGGCUCAGUCAAAAGAGUUAAAGAUGGUCUUCCAGAUUACAUGAAGUCCCGACCUCUAAUAGACUCUCAACUAGCUAUUUGAUGGGGAGGAAUGGAAACCAUGAAACAAGUCCAAUGCGAGUUUCUAAAUAUAGGGAAGAGAUUAACUUCGUCUCCCCUAAGGGAGUUACCAUCCUGGAUGCGGUCUCCACCAGCGAAGUCACCUCCAACGAAUUCAAUAAUUUUUCUUGCAAGGGUUGUAAAUAAAACUUAUCCAAAAAUGUAAGAGUUUAAGACAAUAAAUUGUGGUCGCCAAUGUUGUUAUGCUUUCGUGGCAUAAUUUUUUUUAUUUUUUUUUAGAAAUUAGAACUAAAAAUGUUAAGGAAUUUUGACAGUUCUAAAAA